rnacentral:rRNA from 1 species
GAUGAACGCUGGCGGCGUGCCUAAUACAUGCAAGUCGAGCGAACGGACGAGAAGCUUGCUUCUCUGAUGUUAGCGGCGGACGGGUGAGUAACACGUGGAUAACCUACCUAUAAGACUGGGAUAACUUCGGGAAACCGGAGCUAAUACCGGAUAAUAUUUUGAACCGCAUGGUUCAAAAGUGAAAGACGGUCUUGCUGUCACUUAUAGAUGGAUCCGCGCUGCAUUAGCUAGUUGGUAAGGUAACGGCUUACCAAGGCAACGAUGCAUAGCCGACCUGAGAGGGGGAUCGGCCACACUGGAACUUGGACACGGUCCAGACUCCUACGGGAGGCAGCAGUAGGGAAUCUUCCGCAAUGGGCGAAAGCCUGACGGAGCAACGCCGCGUGAGUGAUGAAGGUCUUCGGAUCGUAAAACUCUGUUAUUAGGGAAGAACAUAUGUGUAAGUAACUGUGCACAUCUUGACGGUACCUAAUCAGAAAGCCACGGCUAACUACGUG